UUGAGCUCUCUCACUUUACGACAUUUUCAACUCACGAGACUUUCUGCUACCUGAUGCAAGCAGCGCCGAAUGAAAUAAAAUAAUAAAUAAAAUAAAAAGCUCAAAACAAAUUAGACAUAUCUUUAUACCCGAAUCUAACAAUGCAUCUAACUAAAUAAGAAAACUUGUCUACUUUACCAUGCAAUAUCAGAUGUGUGAAAAUGCUUUUUGCAAACAUAUCAGAUGUGUUGAAAAUAGAAAUUAGCAUAUCUGAUAUCCCAAGAAAAAAGAAUUUUUUUUUU